GAGGAGAAUAUCUGAGCAGUCUGAUUUUCACUGCAGACUGAUAAGGUCCAAGUCUGACCUCAACAUAGAA